UACGUAGGUGGCGAGCGUUGUCCGGAUUUACUGGGCGUAAAGGGCGUGCAGGCGGUUUGUUAAGUGCAGGGUGAAAGCUCCCGGCUCAACUGGGAGAGGUCCUUGCAUACUGGCGAACUCGAGGGAGGCAGAGGAAAGUGGAAUUCCCGGUGUAGUGGUGAUAUGCGCAGAUAUCGGGAGGAACACCUAUGGCGAAGGCAGCUCGCUGGGACGUUACUGACGCUGAGACGCGAAAGCGUGGGGAGCAAACAGG
rnacentral:rRNA from 1 species